GAUGAACGCUAGCGGCAGGCCUAAUACAUGCAAGCCGAACGGCAAGUUUGAUAGCAAUAUUGAACCUAGAGUGGCGUAAGGGUGCGUAACACGUAUGCAAUCUGCCCUGUACAGGGGAAUAGCUCGGUGAAAACCGGAUUAAUGCCCCGUAAUAUGAUUGUGAGGCAUACCAUAAUCAUUACAGUUGAGGCGGUACAGGAUGAGCAUGCGUAUGAUUAGUGAGUUGGCGGGGUAACGGCCCACCAAGACGAUGAUCAUUAGGGGAACUGAGAGGUUGAUCCCCCACACGGGCACUGAGAUACGGGCCAGACUCCUACGGGAGGCAGCAGUAGGGAAUAUUGGACAAUGGGUGAGAGCCUGAUCCAGCCAUGCCGCGUGCAGGAAGAAGGCCUUCUGGGUUGUAAACUGCUUUUGCCAGGGGAUAAAAAUUCUCAUGCGUGAGAAGUUGAAGGUACCUGGUGAAUAAGCCACGGCUAACUACGUGCCAGCAGCCGCCGUAA
rnacentral:rRNA from 1 species